GCGGAUUUCGAGUGUGAGAGAAACGGUUCCCUGAAGGCAAGCGUCUGUUUGAUCAAAAUGUAAUGAAUUUAUAUUCAUAAAGACACGGUUAAACAGCAUAAUCUGCUUUUAAUUAUUUUAAAAAGCGACGCCUUUAUGUGGAUUUAGUAUGUUAUUUACUUGCAUAUAUGCAAGGUUUCCUUCAUCCAAAUUGCUUCGUUUGUCUCAAUGUUUAUCUACAAAAGGCCAUUGGUUGAACUCGUGUGCCUCUAUUUAAACAUGUUUAUUGCUUUUUUCUGUUUUAUUCAAGACGUGACGUUUUAAACAGCGUCUGUACAUUGAUGUAAUUUAGCAUACAGACAGCUAAGCGCCACAAUAAAGGCGCUCAAUACAUGACCCAAUACCGCCCUCUGCUGGUCAUCACUGCACUGCAGCCGUCAGUUUUCCAGCAGUCACCGAAGUUCUUGACCUUCACUGGUCCAGAUCUGCGACAAACAGCUUGAUAUACAAGUCUUGCCUGUGGCAGUUUUAUGGUGAAGAGACAAGAGAGUGCUUCCAACAUCUGAGCCAAAUAUCCACCCUUCACCUGUCCUCCAGAAACACAGAACUUUAAUACAGAAAGACACAGCCCAAUAAACACAGCCAAAACAUCUCAUAUUCCUCCUCACAUAUGCACUUUAAAUCAGACCUCCUGUUUAAUGUUUCCAAAACUCAGAAAACUGGAAAAACGUUAGCGCUCAUUUCUCACUACAGUUCCUAAAAUGUUGAUUUUCCAUUCGGGCGCUAAACGAAUAUGAAAGAGCUCGACAUUUUUGAGCAGCAUGGAACAACCUUAAGACGGCGGUCAGGAUUCAGUUCGAACUUACUCUGGAAGACCUGCUUGCAUUUCUGCUCUUUGCUGUUGGGAUGACGCUGUGGCAUGCUCUUGUGGUGGGUUCCUAGCUGGCACAGGCGCCCACGACGAGGAACUCCUGGAGUACCUCCAUGCUGGACUCCCCGUCAUGACAAACAUAGCCAAAACAGAUACGACUAGAGAGAAAGGCCGCAUGGUGGUGUGCCCAGCUGCCCUCUAGAACACAGGAACAAACCUGGUGCUCCCUCUGAAUCAAAUGGCCCUGAUCCACACAAUCCAAUCGUGUUCUGCCUCCCCUGAUGACUAAUUAAACCAAACCGUAUGUGACUGCCCGGCACUUCUGUGUGGGCACAUUAGGAGGAUGUUCCCCAAACGGCCCAAAUCCCCGGCUGUCCGGUCAUUUUCAUGCACAAAACAGAGAAAACGCAACCGGCUUUCUUCAUUUCUGCCGCCAUUUGAUUUGAGUUCUAGGUGAUGAAGACUCACUGAUAAAACCAAGCCACAUACUAGCAAAAAUAAGAAUUCGUUCAGCUUAUUGGCUUUAAAAAAAAAUCAAGGCUAAUUGUCGGGUUAAUCAUCAGUUUGUUAAAUGUGACCCUGGACAACAAAUCCAGUCUUAUGGGUCAAUUUUUAGAAAUUGAGAUUUUUACAUAAUCUGAAAGCUAAAUACAUUUUUAGAAUAGGACAAUAUCUGGCCGAGAUAAAACCAUUUAAAACUCUGGAAUCUGAGAGUGCAAAAAAUCUAAAUAUUGAGAAAUUGCCUUGAAGUUGUUAAUCAGAGCUGAAAAAAAUGAUAACAGUGCAUUGGAAAAAAGAAGAAUUCCCAAGUUUGGUUCAUUGGAUCAGAGACUGAAACUGGUUUAUGUAAUGGAAAAAAUCACGGCUUGCUUGCAAAUGAAGAUGGAUUUUUUGCAAAAACA